rnacentral:rRNA from 1 species
UACAGAGGUCCCAAGCGUUGUUCGGAUUCACUGGGCGUAAAGGGUGCGUAGGUGGCUUGGUAAGUUUGAUGUGAAAUCUCCGGGCUUAACCCGGAAAUGGCAUUGAAUACUAUUGAGCUGGAGGUUUGGAGGGGGGACUGGAAUUCUCGGUGUAGCAGUGAAAUGCGUAGAUAUCGAGAGGAACACCAGCGGCGAAGGCGAGUCCCUGGACAACACCUGACACUGAGGCACGAAAGCUAGGGGAGCAAACAGG